GCGUCGAUGGCGGAAUUGGUAUACGCAAGAGAUUUAAAAUCUCUCGCCUUAGGGUAUGCGGGUUCAAGUCCCGCUCGACGCACCA
rnacentral:tRNA from 1 species